CCCCUCUCAGGGUCGCUGCUAGAGAGUUUCCAGUCCUCUACCAGUCUCGACUACAGGAGGGAGAGUCAAGCAGGGGCAUACCCAUUCCAUUCCUAGCUUGGCCAGUGGCUAGCGAGUGGAAGGCAAUCUCCUACAAGU